UCAAGGCUGUAUGAGCUGUAACAGUUGUAAGGAUGCUUUGACCAGCUGAGCCACUGCAAAUAUUUCAAGGAACUCCAGGAUUUUGCCUUCCUCGUUCACCUGUGCUGGGCUUCUCAUGCUGCAACUGCCUUUGAAUCAACCACACUGCUAUAAUUCUGCUUGUACAGUGGUCUUGAUUGGCGGUUGUAGUCUUUCAUAGUU
rnacentral:lncRNA from 1 species